UACAGAGGGUGCGAGCGUUAAUCGGAAUUACUGGGCGUAAAGCGCGCGUAGGCGGCUUUGCAAGUCGGGUGUGAAAUCCCCAGGCCUAACCUGGGAACUGCGUCUGAUACUGGAGGGCUUGAGUGCGGGAGAGGGAUGUGGAAUUCCAGGUGUAGCGGUGAAAUGCGUAGAUAUCUGGAGGAACACCGGUGGCGAAGGCGGCAUCCUGGACCGACACUGACGCUGAGGCGCGAAAGCUAGGGUAGCAAACGGG
rnacentral:rRNA from 1 species